AAAUGUGACCUGGGAGGUCUAAAGGCAUCAGAUCCCAUCUGAUUUUGGAAGGUAAGCACUGGGUCAGCCCUGGUUAGUUCUUGGAUGAGAAAACGCCAGUGAGCACCAGGAGAUGUUUC
rnacentral:rRNA from 11 species